ACUCAAAUGAAUUGACGGGGGCCCGCACAAGCGGUGGAGCAUGUGGCUUAAUUCGAUGCAACGCGAAGAACCUUACCUGGCCUUGACAUGUACGUAGUAGGAGGAUGAAAGUCUAACGAGGUAGCAAUACCAGCGUACACAGGUGCUGCAUGGCUGUCGUCAGCUCGUGCCGUGAGGUGUUCGGUUAAGUCCGGUAACGAGCGCAACCCCUGUGUCUUGUUGCCACUCCGACGAGAGUCGGAAGCACUCGAGACAGACUGCUCUGUGAAACGGAGAGGAAGGUGGGGAUGACGUCAAGUCAGUAUGGUCCUUACGGCCAGGGCUGCACACGUGCUACAAUGCCUAAUACAGAGGGAAGCCAAACCGCGAGGUGGAGCAAAUCCCAUAAAAUUAGGCCCAGUUCAGAUUGAAGGCUGCAACUCGCCUUCAUGAAGUUGGAAUCGCUAGUAAUGGCGCAUCAGCUACGGCGCCGUGAAUACGUUCCCGGGCCUUGUACACACCGCCCGU
rnacentral:rRNA from 1 species